rnacentral:rRNA from 1 species
UGCAGUCGAACGGUGAAGCAGAGCUUGCUCUGUGGAUCAGUGGCGAACGGGUGAGUAACACGUGAGUAACCUGCCCUUGACUCUGGGAUAAGCGUUGGAAACGACGUCUAAUACCGGAUACGACCCUCAACCGCAUGGUUAGGGGGUGGAAAGAUUUUUUGGUCAAGGAUGGACUCGCGGCCUAUCAGCUUGUUGGUGAGGUAAUGGCUCACCAAGGCGACGACGGGUAGCCGGCCUGAGAGGGUGACCGGCCACACUGGGACUGAGACACGGCCCAGACUCCUACGGGAGGCAGCAGUGGGGAAUAUUGCACAAUGGGCGCAAGCCUGAUGCAGCAACGCCGCGUGAGGGAUGACGGCCUUCGGGUUGUAAACCUCUUUUAGUAGGGAAGAAGCGAAAGUGACGGUACCUGCAGAAAAAGCACCGGCUAACUACGUGCCAGCAGCCGCGGUAAUACGUAGGGUGCAAGCGUUGUCCGGAAUUAUUGGGCGUAAAGAGCUCGUAGGCGGUUUGUCGCGUCUGCUGUGAAAACUGGAGGCUCAACCUCCAGCCUGCAGUGGGUACGGGCAGACUAGAGUGCGGUAGGGGAGAUUGGAAUUCCUGGUGUAGCGGUGGAAUGCGCAGAUAUCAGGAGGAACACCGAUGGCGAAGGCAGAUCUCUGGGCCGUAACUGACGCUGAGGAGCGAAAGCGUGGGGAGCGAACAGGAUUAGAUACCCUGGUAGUCCACGCCGUAAACGUUGGGAACUAGAUGUGGGGACCAUUCCACGGUCUCCGUGUCGCAGCUAACGCAUUAAGUUCCCCGCCUGGGGAGUACGGCCGCAAGGCUAAAACUCAAAGGAAUUGACGGGGGCCCGCACAAGCGGCGGAGCAUGCGGAUUAAUUCGAUGCAACGCGAAGAACCUUACCAAGGCUUGACAUAUACGAGAACGGGCCAGAAAUGGUCAACUCUUUGGACACUCGUAAACAGGUGGUGCAUGGUUGUCGUCAGCUCGUGUCGUGAGAUGUUGGGUUAAGUCCCGCAACGAGCGCAACCCUCGUUCUAUGUUGCCAGCACGUUAUGGUGGGAACUCA